AUACGGAGGGGGCAAGCGUUGUUCGGAAUUACUGGGCGUAAAGCGCGCGUAGGCGGGCUGGUUAGUUGGGGGUGAAAUCCCAGGGCUUAACCCUGGAACUGCCUUCAAUACUGCCAGUCUAGAGUUCGAGAGAGGUGAGUGGAAUUCCUAGUGUAGAGGUGAAAUUCGUAGAUAUUAGGAAGAACACCAGUGGCGAAGGCGGCUCACUGGCUCGAUACUGACGCUGAGGUGCGAAAGCGUGGGGAGCAAACAGGAUUAGAUACCCCAGUAGUCC
rnacentral:rRNA from 1 species